CAAGCUUGACUUCAAUUCAAAUUCUUCUGUCUUUCCUCGGGCUGCUGCGGGGUAUUGGAUGCAUAGAGGCGCGGCAUUGUCCAAUCCCGAGGCUGAAAGUUCUUUGAUUGUUCAAUUGUCCACCUCCAUGUCUUUUUCUGCCUCCUCCUUUUCUUCAAAUUCGGAUUCAGAACUAGAACUAGGUGGACUUGGUUCUGGUACUUUCCUUUUCCUUCUCAAAGUUCGUUCAAAAUUGUCGUCAAACUCCGAUAUAUGUGCACGAACUGGUUGAGAACUACGAGUCAUAAACUAGUACCUGAAAUAAACAAAAUCAAAUAAAAUUAAAACACACAAAAAAAAAAUAAAAAAUAAAAAGAAACAAUGGGGAUUUAGCAAAGUUGCUAAUCCCCGGCAACGGCGCCAAAAUUUUAAUGCGAAUAAUAUAAGCACACAAAUUAAACCCUCUUUUGAUAAUUGUAGCAAAGUAUGUAAGUAGGGAUCGUUCUAAACCGGGGAUUAGGAGGGCUUGCUAAAACCUCUAAACUGACUCAAAAACAAAAAAACAAAGUUAAAAAUGUAAACAAAAGACUUUAAAACAAGAAAGUAAAAGGGGGAUUUGGGUUUGGUGAAGUUGAAAGUAAAACAAAUAAACUAAAACUUAAAUAGAUUUUUAGCUAGGCAGAUUGUAAAACAAAUUUGAGAAAUAAGAUGAUGGAUGGAUUAGUUAGAGGUCCGUUCUUCACACAUGACACACUUGUACAUGAAUC
rnacentral:lncRNA from 1 species